AAUAAACCAAUUUUCACUUUUUACCUACAAUUUUUGACUCUUCGUCUUAUUCAAUUUUUUUUUGCGCUUGAUAUUUUUGUUUUUAUUAGAUGAUAAAUCAUGAAUAGUACUUUAUGUGUGACUAAUUUUUUCUAAUUUUCUGAAAAUUUUUCAAAUAAGACGGAUGGUCAAACGUUGGACACGGAGAUU
rnacentral:pre_miRNA from 1 species